rnacentral:rRNA from 1 species
GAUAAACGCUGGCGGCGCACAUAAGACAUGCAAGUUGAACGGACUUAAUCGAAAUAUUUAUAUUUUGAAGCGGUUAGUGGCGGACUGGUGAGUAACGCGUAAGGAACCUGCCUAUUAGAGGGGAAUAACAGUGAGAAAUCAUUGCUAAUACCGCAUAUGCCAUAGAUAUCACAUGAUAACAGUGGGAAAGGAGCAAUCCGCUAAUAGAUGGCCUUGCGUCUGAUUAGAUAGUUGGUGGGGUAACGGCCUACCAAGUCGACGAUCAGUAGCCGGACUGAGAGGUUGAACGGCCACAUUGGGACUGAGAUACGGCCCAGAAUCCUACGGGAGGGAGCAGUCGGGAAUAUUGCGCAAUGGAGGAAACUCUGACGCAGUGACGCCGCGUAUAGGAAGAAGGUUUUCGGAGUGUAAACUAUUGUCGUUAGGGAAGAGAAAGGACAGUACCUAAGGAGGAAGCUCCGGCUAACUACGUG